rnacentral:rRNA from 1 species
AACGAACGCUGGCGGCAUGCCUAACACAUGCAAGUCGAACGAGACCUUCGGGUCUAGUGGCGCACGGGUGCGUAACGCGUGGGAACCUGCCUUUAGGUUCGGAAUAACUCAGAGAAAUUUGAGCUAAUACCGGAUGAUGUCUUCGGACCAACGAUUUAUCGCCUUUAGAUGGGCCCGCGUUGGAUUAGCUAGUUGGUGGGGUAAAGGCCUACCAAGGCGACGAUGCAGAGCUGGUCUGAGAGGAUGAUCAGCCACACUGGGACUGCGACACGGCCCAGACUCCUACGCAAGGGAGCAGUGGGGAAUAUUGGACGAGGGGGGAAGGUCUAGUCAAGCAAUGCGGCGUGAGUGAGGAAGGGCUUAGUGUUGUAAAGCUGUUUUACCCGAGAUGAGAAUGACAGUAUCGGGUGAAGAAGCUCCGGCUAACUCCGUG